rnacentral:rRNA from 1 species
CCUACGGGAGGCUGCAGUGGGGAAUAUUGCACAAUGGGGGAAACCCUGAUGCAGCGACGCCGCGUGAGUGAAGAAGUAUUUCGUUAUGUAAAGCUCUAUCAGCAGGGAAGAAAAUGAAGGUACCUGAGCAAGAAGCCCCGGCUAACUACGUGCCAGCAGCCGCGGUAAUGCGGAGGGGGCCAGGGUUAUCCGGAUUUACUGGGUGUAAAGGGAGCGUAGACGGCCGAGCAAGUCUGGAGUGAAAGGCGGGGGCUCAACCCCCGGACUGCUGUGGAAACUGUACGGCUGGAGUGCAGGAGAGGUAAGUGGAAUUCCUGGUGUAGCGGUGAAAUGCGUAGAUAUUAGGAGGAACACCAGUGGCGAAGGCGGCUUACUGGACUGUAACUGACGUUGAGGCUCGAAAGCGUGGGGAGCAAACAGGAUUAGAUACCCUUGUAGUC